rnacentral:rRNA from 1 species
AACAAACGCUGGCGGCGUGUCUUAAGCAUGCAAGUUGAGCGGCAAGGAGGAGAGAUCCUCCCCAGAGCGGCGGACUGGUGAGUAACGCGUGGGUAAUCUAUCGUAGGCAUGGGGAUAGUCACUAGAAAUAGUGGGUAAUACCGAAUACGUUCCAUGAGGGGAGUAUUCAUGGAAGAAAGGGUGCUACGGCACUGGCCUUAGGUGAGCUCGCGUCCCAUUAGCUAGUUGGUGAGGUAAAGGCCCACCAAGGCGAUGAUGGGUAGCCGGCCUGAGAGGGUGUACGGCCACACUGGGACUGAGAUACGGCCCAGACUCCUACGGGAGGCAGCAGCUAAGAAUAUUCCGCAAUGGACGAAAGUCUGACGGAGCGACGCCGCGUGGAUGAAGAAGGCCGAAAGGUUGUAAAGUUCUUUUGCUAGGGGAGAAUAAGUGAGGGAGGGAAUGGCCCUCAUGAUGACAAGGACUAGCGAAUAAGCCCCGGCAACUACGUGCCAGCAGCCCG